rnacentral:rRNA from 1 species
GUCUACGGCCACACCACUCUGAACAAGCCUGAUGUCUGAUCUCGGAAGCUAAACAGGGUCAGGCCUGGUUAGUACUUGGAUGGGAGACCACCUAGGAAGACCAGGUGCUAUAGGCA